rnacentral:rRNA from 1 species
CCUACGGGGUGCAGCAGUGAGGACUAUUGGUCAAUGGACGAGAGUCUGAACCAGCCAAGUAGCGUGCAGGAUGACUGCCCUAUGGGUUGUACCCUUCUUUUAUAUGGGAAUAAAAUGUUCCACGUGUGGGAUUUUGUAUGUACCAUAUGAAUAAGGAUCGGCUAACUCCGUGCCAGCAGCCGCGGUAAUACGGAGGAUCCGAGCGUUUUCCGGAUUUAUUGGGUUUAAAGGGAGCGUAGGUGGAUUGUUAAGUCAGUUGUGAAAGUUUGCGGCUCAACCGUAAAAUUGCAGUUGAAACUGGCAGUCUUGAGUACAGUAGAGGUGGGCGGAAUGCGUGGUGUAGCGGUGAAAUGCUUAGAUAUCACGAAGAACUCCGAUUGCGAAGGCAGUUCACUGGACUGCAACUGACACUGAGGCUCGAAAGUGUGGGUAUCAAACAGGAUUAGAUACCCUUGUAGUC